GAUGUUACAUAGGGGUAGUUACAGCUCAAGAGACUUUGGACCCUCAGUUGCUGAAUUGGCACUUGGAGUCUUGCUACUGCUUUCUCUUUGUUGCUAAUUAUCUUUAGCUGUUGUGAGAAAAUCUUUGCAGCGGACUUGGUAGCACUUGUUACCAACUUUGAUACAAAAUGAAUUAGAAUUUCUACGCUCCACUAUUUCCCUAGCUUCAGCAAAAUUGUAAUUCUGUUACAGUGUUAACUGGUAGUUUUGAUAGUGAAUUAUCAAAACUCGAUGGACUUGGAAUGGUGAGCCAUCCUGAAGAUUCAAUCCAUUGUCUAAAAACUUUUGGUUUAGGAAACAUUUGCAUUUAACUUCAGUUAGAAGCAUCAAGAAUAUAUGCCCAGUAAUACUAUCUUGAUUGAUAAUCUAUCAUUUUAUGUACACAAAAAAAUCGCAUGAUGUAAAAAUUCACAUCAUCUAAUGUACAUCCUAUUUAUUAUUUAUGCCAUUAUGUCUGUGACAGCAUGUUUCCUGAAUGAUGUAUUUUCGUUUUCUUUCACCUUUCAGUAAAAUUACUUGAUAUUGAAAGCAAGGUUUUACCUCUGGUUGUUGCUAUCUCCAGAUGAGUUGGCUCAGAGACUCCAAUCAAUUGCCAGCAUAGUGGCUUGAGAGGUGUUAUGGUAGAGGAGAUGGCUGAACAACACUUCCUCAAAUACAAUGAUGCUGGAUCUUGGAUUCAAGAUUCAGCCUUAAUGCUAUCAAUGAGUAAAGAAGUCCCAUGGUACCUGGAUGACGGGACUGAUCAAGUAUAUGUUGUAGGGGUUAGAGGUGCCUCAGCUUUUGUGUUAACUGUUGGAGGUGAAGUUUUUGAAGAGUCAGGAAGAUCACUUUUAUGUGGAACAUUAGACUAUCUCCAAGGCCUCAAGAUUCUUGGUGUGAAGCAUAUUGAAAGGGUACUUCCAACUGGUACUUCAUUGACCGUGGUUGGUGAGGCUGUCAAAGAUGAUAUUGGAACAAUUCAGGUCCAGCAUCCCCAUAAACGGCCAUUUUAUGUAUCUCCUAGGACUAUUGAUGAACUCAUUAUGAAUUUGGGAAAGUGGGCGAGGUUCAAUUGCUUGCACAUAACACUUCCUAUUCAUUUACGCAUUAUUUAAUGAAGAUAAAACUGGUAAAACGUGGACGUUUAUGUAUAUGCAAGCAUGCUAUGCAGUAUAUCAUGGAAGGAAGGCGCCUUCGGGAAUUGCAGAGCAGGUAGGUUUCAUUGUGGUUAAUCUUUUUUUGUGGGAAAUGACAUAUCAAGAUGAACUAAUGCCUGAUUUUAAAACUUAAUUUCAAAUUUGGUUUUACUUUUAAUGGCAAGCAACUUAUAGGGUACAAGCAUGUAUUUGCAAACUGGUGAA
rnacentral:misc_RNA from 1 species